UUAUUAUUUACAAUAAUGAUUAGGUUUUGUGCAAUUCGACCUAGCUUGAAUUUAACGAGUUGAUUACUUUAAUAUAUAUAUUUAUGUUGAAUUUAUUAGAAAUAACUUUUUUAUUAGUAGUGUUUAUUGAAAUUUUUAUGUGUGUGAUAGUUUAUAGUACUGUAAAGGAAUUAUAAAUUUUAAUUUUAAGCAAAUUUUAUUUAUUGUACCUUUUGUAUCAGGGUUUAUUAAUAUAAAGAUUAAUUAUUUAAUUUUCCCGAAAUUAGAAGAGAUAUAUUUUUAUGAUAGUUUCUGUUUUAUAAUAAUUAUUAAUUUAAAUAUAGGGGUUAUAUGCUAUUCAUUUUUAAAUAUCUGGUUAUCUAAUAAAUUAAUUUAAUUAAAAUAAUUAAAUGUUGAUUUAUAAAUUAAUUUUGUUCAAUUUUAAUUAUUAAAAUUAUGGGGGAUAAGCUCUAUUAAUUAGUUUAUAAUUGUUUUAUUUUAAAAUUCUUGUAGGCCUAGUGACAGCCAUCAUUUAUUUCGUUACAGUUAAUUUUUAUUUUUAUUUAAUUUAUUAACGAUUUAAAUUUUUAUUAGAUUUAUUUAUAAAAUUUUUUAUUAAAUGUCAUAAUGAUAAAAUUAGUAAUUUUGAAUAAUUAAGGUUAGGAACUCGGCAAAUUUCAUGUUCGCCUGUUUAACAAAAACAUGUUCUUUUGUUUAUUUAUAUUAAGGUCUAGCCUGCCCAAUGAUUUUUUUAAUGGCCGCAGUAUAUUGACUGUGCAAAGGUAGCAUAAUCAUUUGUCUUUUAAUUGAGGGCUAGUAUGAAUGGCUGGACGAGGUAUGGACUUUCUUACUUUUAUUUUUAUAAUUUGAUUUUUUAGUUAAAAAGCUUAAAUUUAUUUGUUAGACGAGAAGACC
rnacentral:rRNA from 1 species